AGUGAACGCUGGCGGUAGGCCUAACACAUGCAAGUCGAACGGCAGCACAGUAAGAGCUUGCUCUUACGGGUGGCGAGUGGCGGACGGGUGAGGAAUACAUCGGAAUCUACUUUUUCGUGGGGGAUAACGUAGGGAAACUUACGCUAAUACCGCAUACGACCUACGGGUGAAAGCAGGGGAUCUUCGGACCUUGCGCGAUUGAAUGAGCCGAUGUCGGAUUAGCUAGUUGGCGGGGUAAAGGCCCACCAAGGCGACGAUCCGUAGCUGGUCUGAGAGGAUGAUCAGCCACACUGGAACUGAGACACGGUCCAGACUCCUACGGGAGGCAGCAGUGGGGAAUAUUGGACAAGGGGCGCAAGCCUGAUCCAGCUAUACCGCGUGGGUGAAGAAGGCCUUCGGGUUGUAAAGCCCUUUUGUUGGGAAAGAAAAGCAGCAGGUUAAUACCCCGCUGUUCUGACGGUACCCAAAGAAUAAGCACCGGCUAACUUCGUG
rnacentral:rRNA from 1 species